UAGGGAAUCUUCGGCAAUGGGGGCAACCCUGACCGAGCAACGCCGCGUGUGUGAAGAAGGUUUUCGGAUCGUAAAGCUCUGUUGUAAGAGAAGAACGUGUGUGAGAGUGGAAAGUUCACACAGUGACGGUAACUUACCAGAAAGGGACGGCUAACUACGUGCCAGCAGCCGCGGUAAUACGUAGGUCCCGAGCGUUGUCCGACUUUAUUGGGCGUAAAGCGAGCGCAGGCGGUUUAAUAAGUCUGAAGUUAAAGGCAGUGGCUUAACCAUUGUUCGCUUUGGAAACUGUUAAACUUGAGUGCAGAAGGGGAGAGUGGAAUUCCAUGUGUAGCGGUGAAAUGCGUAGAUAUAUGGAGGAACACCGGUGGCGAAAGCGGCUCUCUGGUCUGUAACAGUCGCUGAGGCUCGAAAGCGUGGGGAGCAAACAGG
rnacentral:rRNA from 1 species